AACAGAGUGGGUGUGGUUCUGUGGCAGUGUGGUUAGCUGGUAGUUCAUGAUUUAAAACAACCACUAUCUACAUUGCCCCGAAAACGCACAAAAUGAACGAC
rnacentral:pre_miRNA from 1 species